CAGCCACACUAUGAUUUAAAUCAAUACAAUACACAUUCGUAACAUCGUCAAAAAAUAACGAAAAUCCAUAUACCCCGAUUCCGCCAAACUUCUUAUACAAACGCGGCCCAACGGUAUCUGAAAACAUUAAUAGUUCGUACGGAAGUAUAAGUGAAAUGGUAUCUCUUCUCCCGGAAUUCAACCCAUCAUCCAUCAAGUCCUUAGAUUCGCAACAAUUCAUUAGACUCCCUUCAAACCGCAUAUCGUUGGGAUGAUCGAAAUCUAAUAUUUGCAGUUCAACACAAAAAAGGGUAAUAAUCGAAGACGAUCCAAAACACGUGCAUGCAAAUCAGCUGUCAACAAUUAAGUGUACAUUCAAAAUGGCCCAGCUUGUCGGCAUAAGGGAUAGACAGGAGUACCAACAUAACGCCACAAAAAAAUCAAAAUUCGCGAAAAUUCAAAAAUUCGCGAUACUUUGCGAAAUUCGGGAAAUAAUAUGUAUUUAUUCUAAAUCUACUAUUAAUUAGUUUGCAGGGGCGACGAGCGUGGGCGUGGUCGCAUUUUUUUCACAAAUUAUCAAUGCUAUAACAAUAAAAUGUGUGAAGUUUAAACCAUGUAACUCAAUUUUUCGACUUUAUGCCCAAAAAUCUAAUUCUGGACAAUAGUGCAGUGGUUGUACGUACUAAAUAGGUAUUAAAUGUUUCGAUACUUCUACAUUGCAGCCCUAAUUACAAUGUAACCCUAGACAAGAGCAAGUUAUCGAUAGGAAGGGAGCGAGUGUAGAGUCGAGAGUCAAGUGGAAAAGUUGUCAAAAGCGGUUGUUACUAAAUCUAAAUUUCGUCAUAAGUCUAUAUAAUUAAAUGUUAAGCUAUAUUUUUUGUUUAUAUAAACCAUAUAAGCGGAAAACUUGCCCUAAUGCUCGCUCAUGAUUCCAUCCUGGACAUGGCAACAAAUGCCGCAUGCAUAUACAUUGCGCACAAGAACAAUUCAGAGAACAGGCUGGUUACAAGCCCAGAAAGGCAAGGAGACAACAGAGGGCCGAGAAAAGCCUCCCUGCUGGUUGCACAAGCAAUCGGCGACAAACGCCUUGGAAUGGCACGGUCUAUUCUCUGACUAGAGCUUCAAAUUACCGCAAGCCGAUAUUGACGACCCAGAGAAAGCAGCUAACGGCUCGAUCGCCCAUUUCAAAUCCAGGCGUCAUCGGUGCUGUCAAUCCAAUAUAAAAAUUGUCUUUAAGUAGCCUGGGAGGCGAGAAGAGGAAGUCAGCAGGAUGGUAAAACCUAAGCCACCGCUAUACGCCGCGCUGAGCCCUAGUGGCUCGGCGAUUGUUAAAAAGUUUAAAAGUUAAAAAUUUUACUGAAUCGAAGUUGCCAGAAGCAGUAACGUAGUGUAAAGCAUCGUUCGGCGAUGAAUUCCCUACUUUCCUCAUUGACAUACAGCUCUAUCACGAUGUUGUCGCAGAACUGAGGGACCUGCCGCUCCACAUCAUUGCAGUCUAGGGUGGAGCGAUUGACCACGGCCCACUUGUCGGUGUUUAGGCCCGGGUUCUGCGACUCCUCACGUCCUCAGGAAGCCGAAGAACUCGAUUAAGGGCUGGCAGGAGUGCGGCGGGCACAUACCAUGGACGGCUGACAUGACCCAUUGGGCGGUUUCCUCAUCCUCGCAGACCACUAGCAUGCUGGAGUCGAACGUCUGCGGAUAGAUACUCAAAUCAGCUGUUCGCUAGCACACUUUUAAAAGCUGUCAACAAGUUUUGUUGCCACUUUUCAAGAUAUAUUAACAUCGAAAACUCGACUUUACGCCAAAAAAAUCGAUUUCUGGACCACAGUUCACUGCGAGUAUUCUUACUCGAACCGAUUCCCACACAAAUAAUGGCGUGCAAGUCGGAGCCGAGGACCAGCAGCAGCGCAGUGGAGCAACUGGUGGAGUGCAAAAAUAGGAAAAUAGGAAUUGCAGAAGGCGGGAUACUUGGCCGCCGUAUGCGAACACAAUGCCCGAGAACCGGCGAUACGGUCUGGUGAUAACAAACCAGAGUUCGGACGCGGACGGUGUGGACACCGUUGCCCUAAUUGUGAACGCCAACCGACGCCGAUGCGUAGAAUGCCGCGCUGUUCUUCUUACUUGUAACGGGGAUUUCAUCUGGCGCUGCUGUUUGCCACCAUAGGCUUCAUACCUCAACCUUAGCUAACAUGGUGCAUACAUGGUACAUACAUACAUAAUACUGUGGGCCUUACGAGUAUCUAUCCGCAGACGUUCGACUCCAGCAUGCUAGUGGUCUGCGAGGAUGAGGAAACCGCCCAAUGGGUCAUGUCAGCCGUCCAUGGUAUGUGCCCGCCGCACUCCUGCCAGCCCUUAAUCGAGUUCUUCGGCCUCCUGAGGACGUGAGGAGUCGCAGAACCCGGGCCUAAACACCGACAAGUGGGCCGUGGUCAAUCGCUCCACCCUAGACUGCAAUGAUGUGGAGCGGCAGGUCCCUCAGUUCUGCGACAACAUCGUGAUAGAGCUGUAUGUCAAUGAGGAAAGUUGGGAAUUCAUCGCCGAACGAUGCUUUAAACUACGUUACUGCUUCUGGCAACAUCGAUUCAGUUUUGAUUGCUAGGACGUUUUUGGGUUUUCCAAAUUAUUUGUUAAUAUUUUUUGGCUAUUUACUCGAAAUAGUAAAAUUUUAUGAAAUUAGAAAAGUAAACGUGAAUAAAAGUUAUUAAAAAAAAAAAUAUGGCGGCUUCGCGGCAACUGCAUA